UCAACGUUUUCCGUCAUCUGACAAGUAGCAAGUCUACUCCACUUUAUUCACCAAAAACAAUUUUUUAUAAUUCUGCACGUGCCUGAUUUAUAGGGCCCCUGAAUGCCUGGAGUUACUGAGUUUUCUUUUCCUUGAUAUCUCAGUCUUACAAUUCUAGAUCUGUGCCAACAUCAAAAAUAAUGUAGAGAUAAACCCUCUGAGCUUUUUUCAUCUUUAAAGCAGUCUGCAGCCAAGUUGUUAGAAUUUAAACAGAAGUAGUAAGGCUUAUUUAGUAAAAUAGCAUAACAUUUGCUUAUUUCAUAACAUGCUUCCUAACCAGCAAACUUUUCUCCUAUGGUCUGUUUAACAGCCACAGGCUCAACUCAACACAGCCCUUCAGGUUUGUUAGCAGAAACAGCAACUUUAUACCUGCUGGGGAAAAAUUUGACUUUUUUUGCUUUGCAUUGCCCCACAUGAUGACAAUCAGAGUAUGAUCCGAUUAAAUAUUAUAUUCUUCAUUAAUAUGGGUUGUUGCUAUGUUGUACAGUAUUUGAAGAUUUUGUUCAAUGUGCCCCUUUUUAACUUUGAUUCCUGCCCCUCCAAAGGUCUCUGCAUGGCCCUGGUGUGAAACCUCUUGUUCCUUCUAGGAUCUUUGCUGCAGAGCAUGAGAGCUGCUGGUGUUUAUCAAGCCUGCUGCCUGGAUGUCUCAGUACUUACCUGCCUGCCUGCUCUGCUGUGUGGCUGAUUCCUGGAUUAGCACUACAGUCUCUGACCCAUGCUGGUCUCACCUCAUCAAACAAUCAAACCAAUCUGUCAGCAGAACCCGAUGUCUCCUCCCAAGGCUCUUUCUCCUUCAGCAAAACUUAUGACCGAUCAUUCAAAAAUAUUCAAGUAAAACUUACCUGUAUCUAA